ACGCUGGCGGCAGGCCUAACACAUGCAAGUCGAGCGGUAGAGAGGAGCUUGCUUCUCUUGAGAGCGGCGGACGGGUGAGUAAUGCCUAGGAAUCUGCCUGGUAGUGGGGGAUAACGUUCGGAAACGGACGCUAAUACCGCAUACGUCCUACGGGAGAAAGCAGGGGACCUUCGGGCCCUUGCGCUAUCAGAUGAGCCUAGGUCGGAUUAGCUAGUUGGUGGGGUAAUGGCUCACCAAGGCGACGAUCCGUAACUGGUCUGAGAGGAUGAUCAGUCACACUGGAACUGAGACACGGUCCAGACUCCUACGGGAGGCAGCAGUGGGGAAUAUUGGACAAUGGGCGAAAGCCUGAUCCAGCCAUGCCGCGUGUGUGAAGAAGGUCUUCGGAUUGUAAAGCACUUUAAGUUGGGAGGAAGGGUUGUAGAUUAAUACUCUGCAAUUUUGACGUUACCGACAGAAUAAGCACCGGCUAACUCUGUGCCAGCAGCCGUGGUAAUACAGAGGGUGCAAGCGUUAAUCGGAAUUACUGGGCGUAAAGCGCGCGUAGGUGGUUAGUUAAGUUGGAUGUGAAAUCUCCGGGCUCAACCUGGGAACUGCAUUCAAAACUGACUGACUAGAGUAUGGUAGAGGGUGGUGGAAUUUCCUGUGUAGCGGUGAAAUGCGUAGAUAUAGGAAGGAACACCAGUGGCGAAGGCGACCACCUGGACUGAUACUGACACUGAGGUGCGAAAGCGUGGGGAGCAAAC
rnacentral:rRNA from 1 species